rnacentral:rRNA from 1 species
UACGGAGGGCGCGAGCGUUACCCGGAUUUACUGGGCGUAAAGGGCGUGUAGGCGGUCUGGGGCGUCCCAUGUGAAAGGCCACGGCUCAACCGUGGAGGAGCGUGGGAUACGCUCAGGCUAGACGGUGGGAGAGGGUGGUGGAAUUCCCGGAGUAGCGGUGAAAUGCGCAGAUACCGGGAGGAACGCCGAUGGCGAAGGCAGCCACCUGGCUCACUGGUGACGCUGAGGAGCGAAAGCGUGGGGAGCAAACCGG